rnacentral:rRNA from 1 species
GAUGAACGCUGGCGGCGUGCCUAAUACAUGCAAGUCGAGCGAAUGGAUUAAGAGCUUGCUCUUAUGAAGUUAGCGGCGGACGGGUGAGUAACACGUGGGUAACCUGCCCAUAAGACUGGGAUAACUCCGGGAAACCGGGGCUAAUACCGGAUAACAUUUUGAACCGCAUGGUUCGAAAUUGAAAGGCGGCUUCGGCUGUCACUUAUGGAUGGACCCGCGUCGCAUUAGCUAGUUGGUGAGGUAACGGCUCACCAAGGCAACGAUGCGUAGCCGACCUGAGAGGGUGGUCAGCCACACUGGGACUGGGACACGGCCCAGACUCCUACGGGAGGCAGCAGUAGGGAAUCUUCCGCAAUGGACGAAAGUCUGACGGAGCAACGCCGCGUGAGUGAUGAAGGCUUUCGGGUCGUAAAACUCUGUUGUUAGGGAAGAACAAGUGCUAGUUGAAUAAGCUGGCACCUUGACGGUACCUAACCAGAAAGCCACGGCUAACUACGUGCCAGCAGCCGCAGUAA